UACGGGGGGGGCAAGCGUUGUUCGGAAUUACUGGGCGUAAAGGGCUCGUAGGUGGCCAACUAAGUCAUACGUGAAAUCCCUCGGCUUAACCGGGGAACUGCGUCUGAUACUGGAUGGCUUGAAUCCGGGAGAGGGAUGCGGAAUUCCAGGUGUAGCGGUGAAAUGCGUAGAUAUCUGGAGGAACACCGGUGGCGAAGGCGACAUCCUGGACCGGUAUUGACGCUGAGUGAGCGAAAGCCAGGGGAGCAAACAGG
rnacentral:rRNA from 1 species